rnacentral:tRNA from 1 species
AGGGUUGUGGCUCAGUGGUAGAGUGCCUGCCGUGGUCAGGUGGCGCCCUGGGUUCGAUCCUCAGCAUCACGU